GCAAACUUGGUCAUUUAGAGGAAGUAAAAGUCGUAACAAGGUCUCCGUAGGUGAACCUGCGGAGGGAUCAUUGAAGGUCGACUUGCCGUUCGUCGGCUCGUCUUCACUCUCAUCCCUUUGUGGAAAGAAACAGAUUUCUUUGGCGAAGGUUUAAGUUACCUUCGUCGAAGGUUUUCAAAAAUUCAAAUUUUAUUCGUUUGUCAGACUACAAAUGCAAUAACAAAGAUAAAAAACUUUCAACAACGGAUCUCUUGGCUCUCGCAUCGAUGAAGAACGCAGC
rnacentral:misc_RNA from 1 species